AACGAACGCUGGCGGCAGGCUUAACACAUGCAAGUCGAACGCCCCGCAAGGGGAGUGGCGCACGGGUGAGUAACGCGUGGGAAUAUGCCCUUCGGUUCGGAAUAACACAGGGAAACUUGUGCUAAUACCGGAUACGAUCUACGGAUGAAAGAUUUAUCGCCGAGGGAGUAGCCCGCGUAGGAUUAGCUAGUUGGUGAGGUAAUGGCUCACCAAGGCGACGAUCCUUAGCUGGUCUGAGAGGAUGAUCAGCCACACUGGGACUGAGACACGGCCCAGACUCCUACGGGAGGCAGCAGUGGGGAAUAUUGGACAAUGGGCGAAAGCCUGAUCCAGCCAUGCCGCGUGAGUGAUGAAGGCCUAGGGUUGUAAAGCUCUUUCGCCAGGGAAGAUAAUGACGGUACCUGGAAAUAAGCCCGGCUAACUUCGUGCCAGCAGCCG
rnacentral:rRNA from 1 species